UACGUAGGUCCCGAGCGUUGUCCGGAUUUAUUGGGCGUAAAGCGAGCGCAGGUGGUUUAUUAAGUCUGGUGUAAAAGGCAGUGGCUCAACCAUUGUAUGCAUUGGAAACUGGUAGACUUGAGUGCAGUAGAGGAAAGUGGAAUUCCUAGUGUAGCGGUGGAAUGCGUAGAUAUUAGGAGGAACAUCAGUGGCGAAGGCGACUUUCUGGACUGUAACUGACGCUGAGGCACGAAAGUGUGGGGAGCAAACAGG
rnacentral:rRNA from 1 species